CUGCAAAUUAAAUUUGACAGUCAGGAUGAUUCUCAUAUAAGAAUCAACUAUUGCAUCAUUUGUUAUUCCAUCAAGGUAUAAGAUUCAUAACAAACCCGAUAGCUCAAAAAGAGUAUAAAGUAUUGUCCCUUGGAGAUAAACUACUGCAUCUUUAGAUUUACCAUGCAGAUCCAUAUAUAUUUAAGUAUUACAUUUUUAUUGGUGAGAUUAAAUAUCAUGGGGUCCAGUACAUAUUAACAGAACAAAGUGCAGAAGGAAAGGUUGUCCAAGGAAUGAACAGAGAUGGCAAACAUAAGAUGCAAGUUGUUAGCAUGGGUUAUAACUUCUCAUGAUCACUGGUAAAUACAAAUUCAAGCUUGAAGCAAACGAAAAAUGAAUAAUUGCAAUGCAAACAGCAGGUUUUUCUUUCUCCCUUCAAUAAAGCUCCGAAGAUCCAACAAUAAACAUCAACUAAUGAGGACUGGACAUCACCAAACCAACUGGAUAAGGUAUCCUGGACGGUGCCACCAAUGCCAGGUCAUUCACAGGAUAAACAUGAACUCCCAAAAUGUUACUCUUUUCCUCCAGGUGGAUGGUCAUCUUGCUCACAAUGAAGAAGAAUAUAUCUAUUUGAAGGUGAGCGUUCCACCAUUAAAGUGUUGCUCCUAUCAGAGAGUAGUUGAUGGAUGAAAGAAAAGAAUGCCUUUCUUCCCUUUCACUAACAUUAGCAGCCCAACCUGCUCCAUCAGUUGGAUGUAAGGAGAACAGGAGGGCAGUUGAUGGAUGAAAGAAUGCCUUUCUGGGAUUUCACUAACAUAACCUACUCCAUCAGUUGGAUGUAAGGAGAAAGGAAGGCUAAGAAAAUCCCUUACCUAGUUAGAGAGACCAAAGUGAUUGAUGCCAGGUACCUUCAACAUCUCCUGCAAGAAACAAAAAAUUGAAAAAAAAAAUGAAAAAGAAAAAGAAAGCAUGGAGUAGCCCAUUUGCAACAUGGAUCAUGUGGUCCGAUGGAGAAACCAACUGCGAUAUGGGACCAGCACAAGACAGCGUCAUGGUAACAUCCUCCACAGGUUUUACCUUUCAAGGGGAAACCUAGCAGGAGCUCAAAGUUGCCUAGGGGAGAGCACGAAACAUCAUAAAAAAGAAUGCACUCAGAAAGAAAAAGCAUCUCAAAAGGAUGUGAUCUCAUGUAGUGAUGAUUGAAGACAUCAACCUAAGCCAUAUUUAUAAGUCUACGGGUGAUGAGUCCCAUCUAAAAUAAGAAAGGAUGAGGUCAAUUCCAACUCAAUUCGAACACCUGAGCAUCUGGAUGGCAAUUUUGUGUCGUCAAAAACUUUGAACAACAACCUUUUAUCAUCAGAUAACUGAAAAUACAACUACCUCUAGGAUAUUUCGACUGAAAUAUUCUGCCCUUCAAGGUCAAUGAUAGCAAAAUUUCACUGUCCAAAGUAGACAAAAAAAGGGAAAGAGGGGGAGGGGGGACUUUCAACAAACCUAUCUGGAAGUGGUACGGGAACAAGAGUUUCCUCUAAACCAAAAAAAAAGAAAAAGAAAAGGAGGAUAGGGCUCGCUUAGUUUCCAAAGUUAAUGGCCAUCUUCAAAACAAAAAUUUUAGAUUCAUAAUUUUCAUGAACUUUAAAGUUCCUUUCUCUUUUAGGCCCAUGCAUCAUUCCUUUUGAUUUUCAACAUAGCUAAAUAGGAAAAAUGACUAAGGUACAUACAGUCACUACCAUUGGGAAUCCUCUUCAAAAGACCCUCUUAGCUAUCUUUUGCAAGGUAACUAUAUUCCACUUCCCUUCCUUUGGAUUAGGUCUUUAACUAGUUGCAGGUGAAUCUCAUUAAUAGCCAAUGUACCACACAGCUAUGAUCCCUAUUGCAGCAGCAGAUCGUGCUUGAUAGACAAAGUUCCUAGAACCCAGUCCCAUUCGGCUUUCAACUAAUUUUUGACAGGUUGACCUCUCCAAUAGUUGAUCUACCGCACGGCCAAGGCCCUGUGAAAAGGGUAGACAACGCCUAGCUCAUGAAAUGCCCCAAAAAUUCUUUACCUCCUAAUACAUUAGCCUCACAUAAUCCCUACAAACAAAGUUUUGAACUUAAUUUUGAGUUGGCUCCUAUGUGCCUAAUAGACAAAGUUCCCCGAACCCAAUCCUAUUCAACUUUGAACUAAUUUUUGAUAGGUUGACCUCUCCAAUAGUUGAUGUAUCAUACGGCCAAGGCCCUAUUAAACAAGUAGACAACACCUAGCUCAUGACAUGCCCCAAAUAUUCUUUACCUCCAAAUGAGUUAACCAUGCAUAACCCCUACAAACAAGGUUUUGAACUUAAUUCUGAACUGGCUCUUGUAUACAAUGCAUAGGUUGCCACUUCACAAGCCCCAAAGAAGGGGUCAGCAAAGCCAAAUAAAAGUGUUUUUAAAGGUCUUGGCUAGCACUUUGUCCCAUAAUACUAGUCAAGGAGGGGCAGCUUUAGACACCCCACUUUGGCACCUUACGCAUUCUAGGAAGAUGUUAAACUAUGUGAUGCCCCUAACCCUAAGAUCACCACCCCUAUACUACCAAACUUGUGAUAAUCAUGAAUAAAACAUUAUUCAUUCAACAAUAAUAAAGCAGAGGAAAUAGCUUAUUGAGAUAGCAACCAAAUAAUAAACAGAAUCUAGUAUAGUAUAUCAAGAUGUUUAUAUUCCUUUUUUUCAUUUGUGAUCCAGAAGUAUAUUGCUGCAGCAGAAAUAAAGAGACUAUGCAGAGCGAUUCCGUGUAUCUGCAUCCAGUACAAUGAAACAACAAUAAUGCCUAAUAAGGAGACCUUUUCUCUUUAGAAUAUAGUCGCCUAUUGAUUAGCAAAUCAAAAGCAUUGUAAUUAGCAAAAGACAGAUAGAAAAAAGCAUAAAAGGCCAAUUUUGCAGAAUAGGGAUUUCCAGCAGCAACAAGAGUAUAAUAUGCACCGCCUUAAGCCCUUCUAUUGCUUUAUAACUAUCACAGAUUAAUUAAAUCUAAUUUCUAGUAAAAAGGUUCCUUACUUUGUGUAGAUGUAGUAAAAAAGAUGUAGCGAGCAUAGCAAGAGUGACUGCCAAAAAUAUUUUUAUGGAAAAUUAACCCUCAUUGAGUAGAGAGAUCAAAUAAGCAACUGUUACAUUCAAGUUAUGAAAAACAUGCUAUAAAUGAAAAUAUUGAACUAAAAGAAGUAAGCAAAAUGCAGUCCAAUAUGAAAUUAUGUGGAGAUGAGUUUAUCAAAAUCCUAGCCAAAAGAUUCCCAACUAUUUCAUCAUCAAGCACUCUACUACAAAGAUAAAUGGAGAUAUCUCUAACAAAGUAGAAGGCAAUCCUAACCAUAAUAUGAUCCCACUUGCAAG
rnacentral:lncRNA from 1 species